GGAGGGCAAGUCUGGUGCCAGCAGCCGCGGUAAUUCCAGCUCCAAUAGCGUAUAUUAUAGUUGUUGCAGUUAAAAAGUUCGUAGUUGGAUUUUAAGAAUGAUAUGCAUAAAGGGUUUUAGGAUUGAAAAACAAUCUUAAGAUACCUUUAAUCAUUCUCGGCGAUGUAUAUCGUCAUUGAGUAAGUGGUUGUAAGUCGGUGGAGCCUUAAAAACUUUACUCUUACAAAUUUAUUAAAAGCCAUCUUACUUCGUUUACUUUGAGGAAAUUCGAGUGUUCAAAGCAGGCAACAUUAGUUUUGCCAUUUUUUGAAGAUCACAGCAUAGUAUAAUAAAAUAGGUUCUGAUAAACAAGAGUUACUAUAUCUUUUUGGUUUUGACUUGUUUAUUGAAAAUGAUUAAUAGAAACAGCAAUAUUCUAAAAAAAUUGGGGAUAUUCAUAUUUGAUUGCUAGAGGUGAAAUUCUUGGAUUUUUCAAAGAUGAACUAAUGCGAAAGCAUUUAUCAAGGAUGUUUUCAUGUGAUCAAGAACGAAAGAAAAGGGAUCAAAGACGAUCAGAUACCGUUGUAAUCUUUCUAUCUGUAAACGAUGCCGACCAAAGAUGGGAAGCCCAAAAAUGGUAUUGUAAAAGAUAUCAUUUGGUUGCUAAAUUAAUUGAUUGAAUAGCAAUAUUCUUUUCAAUUUAAUGCCCUUUCCCGGAUUUUGUGAGAAAUCAUUGAGUUUUCUGGCUCUGGGGGGAGUAUGGUCGCAAGACUGAAACUUAAAGAAAUUGACGGAAUGAUACACAACGACGUGGAACCUGCGGCUUAAUUCGACUCAACACGCGAAACCUCACGAGUUUAGGACAAGCGAAGGAUUGACAGAUUGAAAGCUCUUUCUUGAUUGUUUGGAUGGUGAGAACGAGACCAACGCGUUUAAAUAGGUUGUGUUCAAAAUUGUGAAUUGAGGUAAUACUCAAGAUGAUUAGUGGGCGAAGCGGUUAUAUAAAAGUUCUUUACUGAAUUUUUGUGUAACUUUCGUUCGUUAUCAUUCAAUAAAUUUUGAAACCAAGAGGGAAGUCGUUCUUGGAAAGAGGGGGCAGGGUAGCAAUAUCUUGUUUUUUUUUUUUAAGAGGGGCUUCUUUCAUUUUUCCUUUAUUAAACGAACUACUAUUUUGGAGAUUAAAAACCUCUAAAAAAAUUUGACGAUAAGUCAGUGGAAGUUGUUGGCAAUAACAGGUCUGUGAUGCCCUUAGAUAAAUUCGGCUGCACGCGCGUUACACUGUCAAUUUCAAAAAGUAGUUUGUAAGCUCGCUUUAGAGUUCACUUUUUGCGUAGCAAUAUGUAGAAAGCCUCUAUUCAACUUACAUACAUCCUGACUUGACAAGGUUGGGUAAUCUUUAGAACGAUUGACGUGAUUGGGAUUAUGAAUUGCAAUUAUUUCAUACAAACGAGGAAUUUCUAGUAAUCGUAGUUCAUCAAACUACGCUGACUAAGUCCCUGUCAUUUGUACACACCGCCCGUC
rnacentral:rRNA from 1 species